GACGAACGCUGGCGGCGUGCUUAACACAUGCAAGUCGAACGGAAAGGCCCUGCUUUUGUGGGGUGCUCGAGUGGCGAACGGGUGAGUAAAACGUGAGUAACCUGCCCUUGACUUUGGGAUAACUUCAGGAAACUGGGGCUAAUACCGGAUAGGAGCUCCUGCUGCAGGGUGGGGGUUGGAAAGUUUCGGCGGUUGGGGAUGGACUCGCGGCUUAUCAGCUUGUUGGUGGGGUAGUGGCUUACCAAGGCUUUGACGGGUAGCCGGCCUGAGAGGGUGACCGGCCACAUUGGGACUGAGAUACGGCCCAGACUCCUACGGGAGGCAGCAGUGGGGAAUAUUGCACAAUGGGCGGAAGCCUGAUGCAGCAACGCCGCGUGCGGGAUGACGGCCUUCGGGUUGUAAACCGCUUUCGCCUGUGACGAAGCGUGAGUGACGGUAAUGGGUAAAGAAGCACCGGCUAACUACGUG
rnacentral:rRNA from 1 species